rnacentral:lncRNA from 1 species
GAGAAAAGACAACAAAAUCCCGUGAGAAAUACCUUGCCUACACGAGCUCCACAUGCCACUCGCGCAUGCGCGCUCGCGGCCAACACAGGCACACAUCCCAUCUGUAUGGGGCGCGAGGCACACAGUUUACCUGCGUGGUUCCACACGCCUUGUGCACGUAUAUGAAUUAAUGAAAUUUUCAAUUAAAUGGUUGCAUGCUUAAUCUUAUAUGCUUAAAUAAAAUUAUUAUGUGUUUAUAUGAACGUAUAUGAAUUCAUUACUCGCAUGUUUAACUAAAAUAAUUAAAUGUUUGUGAUAAAUGUUGAUGCAUGAUACAUUGUACGAUUGUGAAGUGAUAAAGCAUGAAGUGAUAUUUAAGCAUGAGAAAUAUGUAUCAGUAUCAGCAUGCAUGAUUUAUAAAAUAUUUCAUUAGACUUUUUAUCUAUGAGGGCUUUCUGUUUCUCCCCCCAUCUAAUCUGAAAAGAUGUAAGAUGAUCAUUCUCUGUGGAUGACGAAGUACCCUCUGAUGAGAGUAGUGAUGCGAUAUGAUUGUAGAUGUCACCUUUGGCUAAGUACAGUCAUGGCCAUAGAUUACAUGUAGGACCACUAUGGUUGGCAAGGCCGUGAUCAUAUAUCAUGUCAUAGAUUGGCAAGCCGUAAAUGUGUUGUUGAUUUGGCAAGUCGCAAAUUGUUGAUAUAACAUGAAUUGAAUUGGUCAUUCCACAUGAGUAGUCGAAAAUCUGUAUUGUUCUCAAUAGAUGGAAGUCAAAAUGACUCCACACGAAGAAUAAAAUGAAAUAAAUAGCAUGAAUGAUUUGAUUGACAUUAUAUGACUAUAACAUAAUGAAAUUCAUAUUUUUUAAAUAAAAUAAAUUAUUUUCGUGAUUAUUAAAGAACCCCUGACAAAACUCCUGAUCGUAAGUAAAUAAUGGUACUUUAUUUUAGUUUUAAUUACUUUUGAAAUCUUAGUGAUGUAAAUUAAAUAUUAUUUUUCUUACUGAGUAUAUGAAACUCACCUAUUUCCAUGCCCCUCUCUAAAUGAGAAAAAUAGUGAGGAACCAAUUGCCUUUGAGGGUCUUGUGGGUCUGUGAACGGUUAUGAGUGCAUAGUAGUCCUGCACUCUGAUGAGUUCAUCUUUUAUAGAGGAUUGUAAUUAAUUUUGUUUCUACCUCAGUAUUGUAUGAAACUCUAUUAUUAUUUUAUAAAGGGAUUGUAAUUAUUUAUUCCACUGCAUAAAUUUAUCUUAU